rnacentral:rRNA from 1 species
GGGAACGUACCCUUCGGUUCGGAAUAACGCUGGGAAACUAGCGCUAAUACCGGAUACGCCCUUUUGGGGAAAGGUUUACUGCCGAAGGAUCGGCCCGCGUCUGAUUAGCUAGUUGGUGGGGUAACGGCCUACCAAGGCGACGAUCAGUAGCUGGUCUGAGAGGAUGAUCAGCCACACUGGGACUGAGACACGGCCCAGACUCCUACGGGAGGCAGCAGUGGGGAAUAUUGGACAAUGGGCGCAAGCCUGAUCCAGCCAUGCCGCGUGAGUGAUGAAGGCCUUAGGGUUGUAAAGCUCUUUUGUCCGGGACGAUAAUGACGGUACCGGAAGAAUAAGCCCCGGCUAACUUCGUGCCAGCAGCCGCGGUAAUACGAAGGGGGCUAGCGUUGCUCGGAAUCACUGGGCGUAAAGGGCGCGUAGGCGGCCAUUCAAGUCGGGGGUGAAAGCCUGUGGCUCAACCACAGAAUUGCCUUCGAUACUGUUUGGCUUGAGUAUGGUAGAGGUUGGUGGAACUGCGAGU